AAACAAGCAGAUCAUCAACCAAGAUCUAAAGACGAUAAAAAUUGAAAUUUGGUUACGCUGUGGAAUGACACAUUGAUGAAGUCACGUGACAGUUAUUUUCUUACAGCCAAACGCCUGACGCCACGAAUUGGCGUCUUCCUGUAGUUCCAUAUCUUGAUCAUUGAUAUUGAUUUUGGUUCGUCAAAAAUAACAUAAAGUAAAUUGGUCUAAAGACACUAAAAACGUUACCAAGUCAGGAAAGAUGGGAACUAGCCACAUAUGACGUCCAUCUUCUGUAUCAUUGACGCCAUCAAUCAACUUUGCUGGGGUUCUGACGUCAUCCUUCACUCCCUCCAAGACGUUAACACUCUCCGGUUCCAUAAGCCGACCAUCUUGAUCAUAAAAUUCUAAUCCAUUUAAUCCAAGAUAAUAUGGAUCACCCCAGGAUUCAAACAGUUGAAACUG